rnacentral:guide_RNA from 1 species
AAAUCACAACCUAAAAUGAUGAGAGAAAGUAAAUGGUUAUAU